GACUUUUUAACUAUAUAAGUAUAUAUUUUGAAAAUAUAAAAAAGAGAAAUCUCUAUUAGUCU
rnacentral:tRNA from 1 species